rnacentral:rRNA from 1 species
CCCUUAGAUGUCCUGGGCCGCACGCGCGUUACACUGAUGCAUUCAACGAGCUUAUAACCUUGGCCGAGAGGCCUGGGCAAUCUUGUUAACGUGCAUCGUGAUAGGGAUAGAUUAUUGAAAUUAUUAAUCUUGAACGAGGAAUUCCUAGUAAACGCAGAUCAUCAAUCUGCAUUGAUUACGUCACUGCCCUUUGUACACACCGCCCGUCGCACCUACCGAUUGGAUGGUCCGGUGAAGCCUCGGGAUUGUGGUUCUUGCCGCUUUAUUGUGGCGUGACCGCGAGAACUUGUCUAAACCUUAUCAUCUAGAGGAAGGUGAAGUCGUAACA